rnacentral:rRNA from 1 species
UACGUAGGGGGCAAGCGUUAUCCGGAUUUACUGGGUGUAAAGGGAGCGUAGACGGCUGUGCAAGCCAGAUGUGAAAGCCCGGGGCUCAACCCCGGGACUGCAUUUGGAACUGUGUGGCUGGAGUGUCGGAGAGGCAGGCGGAAUUCCUAGUGUAGCGGUGAAAUGCGUAGAUAUUAGGAGGAACACCAGUGGCAAAGGCGGCCUGCUGGACGAUGACUGACGUUGAGGCUCGAAAGCGUGGGGAGCAAACAGG